rnacentral:lncRNA from 1 species
UGGUACCCUUCUUUGAAUAGUGGACAGGAAAGUAACUUGCUGCUUGCUUGCCUGUAACUCUUUUGCUUUUGGUUACUUUGUACCAACUUUGGAAGUCAUGGACUAAUCUGUGCUUCCAUUAGCUUUGCUACAGCGUUGUGAUAAAUGGCUUUCUGAAUUGUUUUUAGGAGCUUGGAAAUCCUUCAAAUUGCUUGAAAGCCCCAUAGAAAACUUUUUCACAUGCAGGUUGGCUUCUGAUGUUUCAGGAAGCAAGCGUAGCAUGGCAGCAUAGGUCUGUAGAUGUAAGCCCCUGGGGAGUGGACACAGGAGGAUCAGCAAUUUGAGGGUAGUCUAGGUUAGUUACAUGGUGAGACCAGUUUUUAAAAAAACAUGGUGUUACACACCUUUAAUGUCAGCAUUCAGGAACAAAGAGGCAGGCAAAUUUCUGUGAGUUCAAGGCCAGCCUGAUCUGGACGAUGGGUUCCAGGCCACUUACAGCUAUGUAUAAGUAAAAACAAGUGGUGGCUUGAGAUUAAGCACUGAGAAGACUGAAGCGGAAGGCUCACCAUGAGCGUGAGGCUAGCCUGCAUAGGCUACACAGCAAGAUCUAGUCAAAAACAAAAAAAAAAACACAAAAAUGAAGGAAUCCUUUUUUUUUUUUUUUUUUUCUCUCAGAGCUGGGGACCGAACCCAGGGCAUUGGCUUGCUAGGCAAGUGCUCUACCACUGAGCUAAAUCCCCAACCCCAAAUGAAGGAAUUCUUAAUGACCUUCCUGCCUCAGCUUCCCAAGUGAUUGAAUUAGAAAUAAAGGUAUGGAAUAC